AAACACAUCAAAUAUGCAGUUUCAGGAUGAGACAGCAGUCUGCAAAGAAACCAGCCUGCCCCUAUGUAAGCUAGGAUGGUCUGUCCCAUAUUCACCAGUUGGAAGGAGGGCAAGCACUGGGAGGGGAGCCAACUGUGUCUGAGAAUGGGCUUGCUCAUGAGCGUCUGGCGGUUCCCAGGCAGAGCAUGCAGACAUGCUGCAAAACAAUUAUCACAUCACUCCACACUGAGUGCUCCGCUCCUCUGGGCUGUGAACAGACCUGACUGUAAUCCUGGCCUUUGAGGACCAGAGAACUUCAACAAAAUACCAACGGGCUGGGUAGAAGAGAAACCAGGGGAGGUGGUCAGCAGGUGGGUUACCAGCAGAAGAGCACUUGCAGGGGCUCCAUGCUCAGAGAUGGAAAUAUAUCCAUUUUAAGGGUAGCUGAUCAUGAGAUGAUAUGAGCUUCCACUUCCAGGGAAGGCAAGGUGUGUCUUUGAUCUGUGCUGAGGAGACAGACAGGACAGGUUGAAAACAACUUGCUCACCCAUCUUCACCCCUGCUGUAACGCUGCACCUGGCACAAAUUUAGAAUGCAAUGAUUUGUAAUAUGGCCCAUGAUAGCCUCUGGUCUUGCUCUCCAGGGAUAGGUCUAAUACCCUGGCGAGUAUGAGGACAUUUUUUGUGCUCCUCUCUAGCAGGGACGAAGACAUCUCAAGGUGACUUCAAAAUCCCUCAUGCCUAGAAAAGGCCUGGAAAUACCUCCGUAGCUCUGGAAGCAGGUGGCUGCAUUAAGAACACCAUGUGCAUCCUGCUGUGCCUUUGGGCUUUUAUUAAAAAAUACAAGCCAGACGAGGCACAAGACAAAUAAGUCAUCAAGGACAAAUAAAAGGAGGUUCAUUCAUCGCUGGAAUCUUUAAUGGUCACCAAAUGAACUAAGAUAACUGAGUAACCAUUGUAAAUAUUAAUCUUUAAAGGAAAACAAUACUCCCAACAACAGGAAGCCUGAUAAGACAUUGGAUGUUGCCAUCAGUGUUAUGGAGUUUCUCUAAUUUCCUUAGUUUUUUCUUAUGCCUGUAGAGGGAUCAGGAAGGGGAACAUAUGGUAUCUCUCAAAGGAAGUAAAUUAACAUUAUUAAUAGCUAAUGUGGGAGAGGUAAAACAGUGAUUGUUCGUGGUGGUUGUUAUUGUGCUUUUGUUGGGGGGAGGCCUGGCAGCCAGUGAGUUUAAGCACUCAGGCCAAAUUAAAAAUCUUGUAUUUAUAAACAGAGAUCUGAUAACAGUUGCCUAAGCAUCCAUGAUGCUUUGCCAGCGCACGCACAUCAAGCUGAUCUGAAGGGACUGUGUCUUGGGGUUUGUCCCAGGAGCUGGCUAAUGCUGGAGAGAACUUAUGGCCUGGUCCCUGUUCCCAAAUAACUCCUUGCAUGGAUCCUCCUGUUCUUUGCAUUAGUUUGAAGCAGAAGGAAUGAGGAUAGGUAGACCUGCACUCAAGGAACAAAAGCUGUCCUUUGGCAUCCAUUGAGGAGCUGGGUUCUCACAGGCAGUGGUCAUUGAUGCAGGACAUCUACUUUCAAGCACAGAGCGAUGGCACUAGUAGGUUUCUGAGGGCUGCACAGCAGUGGGAUGUGUAAAUGGCAGAAGCAAUGAUAAAGUGCUCUAUUAUGAUUGAUUGAAUUAGUGACCUGGAAGGGUAUCUCUGGGAUGCCUUGUCAUUUUCCCUGCACUAAAAGAAGAAUUUACCUUUCUCAGGCUUCUGCUUUUGUCUCUGUCCCAAACACUUAUUAGAUGGUAUUUAUUUACUCUAAAUAAUAUUGACACUUACAGAACAUAUGUUAUAAUCUGUGGCUACUCAAAAGUAGCUCUUUCAUCCCAGAGCACCUGAAAGCAUAAAAAGCAUUCGUCAUUUUGAUCCAUCACUUUCUACUUUCCUCCCAGUCAUAAAAGCCUGAGGCAAUUCCUAGCUGAAGUGGACUUCAUAACACCUUUCGUGCUGAUACAAUCUGAAAAAUAAGUUUGGUAGACCUUAGUAGAAACAAGAUUUGAUUAAAAUUACUUAGUAAGUUUGGCAGAUAUAAGCAAGUUCUGGGGAAAUGGUUUAAUAAACUAUUUAAAAAGAAAACAGUGGAUUUUAGUAUAACUGACUCACUGGAUCUUAAUAAAAACUGAGGAGCCUAUCAAGAAAACCUCAUUCUUCAGUGCACAUACUGAUUGCUUCAUAGACACAAAGGAAUGCCCUCUGCCCUUGAAAGCUUAUGCUUCAACUGGAAGUUGACAGUUGGAUUUUGAUUUCUAGGCCUGAAGACGAUAACUUGAAUACCUUAGGACAGUACAGACUUCAGUUAAACUCAGACAGGUGCACCUACUCUGUAAGGAAACUGUUUUGCUACCAUACAACUCCACUUGAGGAGAUAAUGCAGUAAACUGAUAAAGUCUGUGCCUUAAAGUUGGUCUAAAAUACUUCUUCCUGAGUGAUGAU